AGUGAACGCUGGCGGUAGGCCUAACACAUGCAAGUCGAACGGCAGCACAGUAAGAGCUUGCUCUUACGGGUGGCGAGUGGCGGACGGGUGAGGAAUACAUCGGAAUCUACUUUUUCGUGGGGGAUAACGUAGGGAAACUUACGCUAAUACCGCAUACGACCUACGGGUGAAAGCGGGGGAUCUUCGGACCUUGCGCGAUUGAAUGAGCCGAUGUCGGAUUAGCUAGUUGGCGGGGUAAAGGCCCACCAAGGCGACGAUCCGUAGCUGGUCUGAGAGGAUGAUCAGCCACACUGGAACUGAGACACGGUCCAGACUCCUACGGGAGGCAGCAGUGGGGAAUAUUGGACAAUGGGCGCAAGCCUGAUCCAGCCAUACCGCGUGGGUGAAGAAGGCUUUCGGGUUGUAAAGCCCUUUUGUUGGGAAAGAAAAGCAGCAGGUUAAUACCCCGCUGUUCUGACGGUACCCAAAGAAUAAGCACCGGCUAACUUCGUG
rnacentral:rRNA from 1 species